ACUUUAUAUAUUUUCGGAUUGUUAAACUCAACGCCUAAAUUUGCUUCAUCUUCUUUUCAAUCUCAAAGUCUAAAACUAUCUUCUCCGUUCUCUUAAACAACAAUGUAGUCUCUGGAGUUUGGGCGACUCGAAUCGACGCGAAGAAUCUAGAAGUUGGUCUGCAAACCGUCCACCUCUUCCAUAAUUUCUCAUUCAAUGAAUCUAUUUUUCUUCAAGACGUACGGUGAAUCUGCUGUUAAAUAGCACCACCGAAGUUCAUCUGCUUAGAUUUUGGGAGGCAGAGCCGCUUAAGCAAGCACCAGCACUGGCUGAGGAAUGUAAAGAGAGGCGGCGAGCUGACAUUCUCCUCCUGGACGUAGAGGCCUGUUCGAUUUACGCCGAAAGCGGGGUGAGCGGGUUUGACGUGACACCGAUCAACCCCAACUACAAACUGUCCAACUCUCCUCCAUCAAUACGUUUCAGUGACUUGACCGACUUUGACGAAAUAACAGAACCGGUGAGCUCGAUUCCUCAAGAGCUCUUCCAGUUCUCCGAUUACAAACAGCUCCAACACAUCUUCCUGGUCACUCUCUCAAACUCUGCUACUCCCGCUUUACAAUCUAACUCUGUUUUACAUUUCAAAUGCUCAUAUCUUUCACCAAAUAUUAUUGGUGAAUU